AUCCAACUGAUGAGUCCCAAAUAGGGUAAAACGCACGUCAUACUGUAU
rfam:Schistosoma haematobium scaffold324_4, whole genome shotgun sequence.